rnacentral:sRNA from 1 species
UAAUAAACCAAUGUACUUACAGGUUAUG